rfam:Cephalotus follicularis DNA, scaffold: scaffold6555, isolate: St1.
AGACCAAGAUGAGGACACUCUAAAAGAAAAUCUUUAAAUCCUUCCAUACAUCAAGAGAAUGAUUCAUUGGGUCGCUGGAGAAACUGGAGAAUAUCGUUCCUAAGUUU